rnacentral:lncRNA from 1 species
AUGUCGACACCGGCAAUUUACCAACGAAUCACACACCAAUGCCAGAGCUUGCUGUCUUUAUACAGACUGCCUGGGAGUCAGAUGGAGGUACAGGCAAGACCAACUUUCAACGUGUUUUUGAACUACCUGUGUCAAGACUGCCUCCGUGGAGACCGAGAGUGUGCUCUUCAGACAAGAAUUGGGGGUCACUCUCCUGUACUUAGAGGUGUGAGGGUCAUCUUUCCCGUCUAUGGAACUAAACAGUUGACCGCACACUCCUCUCCCCCUUUAUUACUUAGUCACGUCUCUUCCAUUCUUAGCAUCAGGACAACUCCAGGAGACAGAGAACUGGGGAAACAAGGCAGGCUGCAGAAAACGACGGGCGAACGUGAAGGCAAGCAGAGGAGAGUGAUAUGGAUGGAUGUAUCAUACUUUGGGCUUUCAAUCAAGAACUUUACAGCAUAAAGUGACUCUUUCUAAAGUAGCCCAUGGACUCGCCAACUCAGCUCUCUGACUCUGGCAAUGGGGGGGGGCACCUGAAUGCAUUCCCUGCACAGCUGGUAGCUGGUCUUGAGUACCUAACUACUUCCAGCACCCUGGGGACAUAAAGGAUUCUUUAAAACGAGAUCAAGAAACACAGACAUGUUUAAAAUGUCAUCACCUUCCU